CACUUGUGCUAGUCUUUGCGUGGCAGGCGCCCGCCCUCCAUUCGCAUCCGUGAAGCCAAACCGUUCGCAGGCGUGCGACAUCGGAGAAACACAAACCCCGAAGAUAGCCAGGCGCACGACAGCUCCCAGGACGCUCCUGAAGUACCUUUCACCCCAUUCUGACGCAACCACACCAGAAUGAAGUCAAUGAUUCUCCAGCUCACUCGCAGCCUGCGGAGCGCGGCGCCACUCGCCGUCCUCCGUGGCGCCCACUCGGCGGCACGUCCUGCCUCCACACACAAGUCAGAAAAGAUGCUCUCCUCCGAGGAAAUCUACACUCGUGAGCAUAAGUACGGCGCGCACAACUACCAUCCCCUGCCUGUAGCGCUGGAGAGGGGCGAGGGCGUCUAUGUGUGGGACAUUGAAGGCAGCCGCUACUACGACUUCCUGAGCGCCUACAGCGCCGUCAACCAGGGCCACUGCCACCCCAAGAUCAUCGCCGCCCUCAACGCUCAAGCCUCCAAGCUCACGCUGACCUCCCGAGCCUUCUACAAUGAUGUGCUGGGCGCCUACGAGGAAUACGUUACGGCCAUGUUUGGCUACGACAAGGUCUUACCCAUGAACACGGGUGUGGAAGGCGGUGAGACGGCGUGCAAGCUGGCUCGUAAGUGGGCCUACAACGUGAAGGGCGUGCCCAAGGACAAAGCCAAGAUUGUUUUUGCCGAUGGGAACUUCUGGGGCCGCACCUUGGCAGCAAUCUCCAGCUCCACGGACCCCAGCAGCUACGAAGGCUUCGGCCCUUUCAUGCCCGGCUUUGAGCUGGUCCCGUUCAACGACGUUCCCGCACUUGAGAAAGCCCUCCAGGACCCGCACGUCGCCGCCUUCAUGGUGGAGCCCAUCCAGGGCGAGGCGGGCGUGGUGGUGCCUGACACCGGCUACCUGACCCAAGUCAGGGAGCUGUGCACGCGGCACGAUGUGCUGUGGAUCGCCGACGAGGUGCAAACGGGCUUGGGGCGGACCGGCCGGCGUCUGGCCGUGGACCACGAGCGAGCGCGUCCAGAUAUUGUCAUCCUGGGAAAAGCUCUCUCAGGAGGAGUCUACCCUGUGUCUGCCGUGCUGUGUGACGACGAGGUCAUGCUAACCAUCAAACCCGGGGAGCACGGGUCCACGUACGGAGGGAACCCCGUCGCUUGUCGCGUGGCCAUCGCUGCCCUCCAGGUCAUGGAGGAGGAGAAGCUGGUGGAGAACGCAGAGCGAAUGGGACAGCUGCUGCGCUCGGAGCUGAGCAAGCUGCCGUCCGACAUCGUGACCACGGUGCGGGGCAAGGGCCUGCUCAACGCCGUCGUCAUCAAAGAAACCAAAGACUACGACGCAUGGAAGGUGUGCCUGCGCCUGCGCGACAACGGCCUGCUGGCCAAGCCCACCCACGGCGACAUCAUCCGCCUGGCCCCGCCCCUCAUCAUCAACGAGCCCCAGCUGAGAGAGUGCAUCGACAUCAUCCACAGAACCGUCGCGUCUCUCUAAAAUGUGCAGUCAAGUUCAAGAGGCUCAUCCUGAUUUGGCUCCUUGUUCCCAGCAUCGGUUAUUUUGCCCACUCUCCCAGAAAGUAUUUCGUCCGGACAAAAUGGUGGAAACGAAAGAUGCUGUGGGCUCCUUUUGUAAGUCUCGUAAACAAAAAGGACAAGAACUAGCACAACACACCAGCUUACGGGUCCCGAUAUUAGGGUGAGCAGCAUUGCUCGUUUCUUACGGCUUUUGUAGACGUGCUACUACAUCCCAACGAAGCGCUUCCGAAUAUUUUCAUCCUCUCAUAUUAGAAACGCUGUGCCAGCAUCACCUCUAUUAGCCUCCUGAUGACUUCCUCCCCACAUCGGCUGCGUCUGUGCGUUUCUUUUUCUUUCUUUUUGCACUGAUUCUAAUUCCUACUACUACUACUGGAGGUGCAUCUGUAUGCAUGGAAAGGCUCCGGCUGCGUGGCGAGUUCAGUGACACCGCGGAACCCGCCGCCUCCUCGAGUAAUACGCAAUGAGCUAUGAGAGGAGACGGGAGCCUGCGGGACGAGACGUUGGUGAGCCGCCUCGCUACGGCCGUGUGUGUGCGCAUGUGUGAUGUUUCACAAUCAAGCUUACCCGUCCAAGCGUGGCGAGCAGCUGGACCCGGGUGGUAUUAGUAUGCCACCCGGUGUCCCCGCAGCCACAGAGACGACGUUCGAAUAGCAGCCCGGCCUUGCCUUUUUUUUGCACGUACAUAGAAUUAGCGCCUGCACGACUGACCUAUUUUUCAUAGUCGACGCUAAUGUGAUACAAGUCGAGUCAAAGUCAAUUAAUCGAAGACGCCAUUGAUAUUUUUUUUUCAGCACUGUACAACCCGACCAAAGAACACAACGAUUUACCGACUUAAAGCUUUAAACGUCGAUGCGGAGUAGUAAAGUCGACUUGUCAAUUUGUCAACUAAUCGGUGUAACCCUACGAUAAAUGUAGUUUUCAAAUUAAGUACAUUUAAAUUGCAAAUUUUGAAAUUGCAGAAAAAGGGUGCAAAUUUCAGAUUUGCAACAGAGGCUUGAUGGUUUCCUUCAAUGUUACGCAAACGACAAGGUUCGUCCAGUGCAAAGGUUUCUUACAAAAUGCUGAAGGAAUUUUUGGGUAAUCCUACUAACAAACGAGAUACCAGAACUAGCAUACUUGUGCAACGUUUAUGGUUCUUCCCACCCAAAAAAAUACAAACCAUAGAAAAUGGUACAAAGUCAUUUUGCAUAAUCCUGCUAACUAACAAACAAACAUGCAAGAACAUGCGAAAACUCUGCUGAUUUUGAAAACAACAUUUGUGGAUACGGCCCAGAACCAAAACUGAAUGAGGCUUCGGGGGGGGAAAAAAAACUGUGAAAAAGCUCAAGUAGUUUUCACUUCUGCAACGGUACUACAAUUUAGGCAGAUCCAAAUUUUGCAAUGUUAAGUAAAACAUGGAUCAGGAUCAGGACCACUUCCUGGAUAUCAAUGAGUUCUUUAAAAAAAAAAAAAAAAAAAAAAACUUGCAUAAUUCUUUUGCUGAAUCCUUCUAACUAGAACAAUCCCAAACCUGCGCCAUGGCAUGACGAUCUUAUUUUGCGAUGACCGCCAAAAUGAAAAUGGGAGGAUUUAAUGGAUUUGUCAAAGUUUGGUCGAAAAUACUAGUUCAAAGUCAUUUUUGGAGUGACCCUGCGAAGAAACAAGCUAGAAUGAGCCCGGAAAUCCAAAUCCAAAUCCAAAUGGUUUCUUGGUUAAGCAACACAAGAUUGUUUUCAGUUCAGCACGACUCGUGGACGCUUCAGUUCUGCCUCGCUUAUGUUUGCAAACAAAGGCUAAUUCAUGAAUGUUUACGCGGCCAAUUACAUUCCUUCACUCGGGAUUACGCAAGCCACUUCAAACAUUGCACAACACUUUCACUUCCUUGUUGUCAAGUCAAUAAAAAGGGAUUUUACUUUUC